UAACAGAUUCCAUGCGGCUCCACCCCUCUCUGACAAGCCACGAUAAGAGCCGCCAUCCUGCUCCACUCUGCAGUGGAUUCCAUGCGGCUCCACCACUCCCUGGCAAGUCCCGACAACAGACACCACUCCACUCUCCAUUAUAAGCUCCACGUGACCCUGAACGACUCCUGACGCCACUACUCUCCGUAACAAACUCCAUGCGGCUCUGAGCAGUCCACUAUCAGACGGUUGCAGGCAUCGCUGUCGGUCAGUUAUACCC
rnacentral:lncRNA from 1 species